rnacentral:rRNA from 1 species
GAUGAACGCUGGCGGCGUGCCUAAUACAUGCAAGUCGAGCGAAUGGAUUAAGAGCUUGCUCUUAUGAAGUUAGCGGCGGACGGGUGAGUAACAGGUGGGUAACCUGCCCAGAAGACUGGGAUAACCUCGGGAAACCGGGGCUAAUACCGGAGAACAUUUGGAACCGCAUGGCUCGAAAUUGUAAGGCGGCUUCAGCUGGACCUUAGGGAUGGCUCCGUGUCGCAUUAGCUAGUUGGUGAGGAAACGGCUCACCAAGGCAACGAUGCGUAGCCGACCUGAGAGGGUGAUCGGCCACACUGGGACUGAGACACGGCCCAGACUCCUACGGGAGGCAGCAGUAGGGAAUCUUCCGCAAUGGACGAAGGUCUGACGGAGCAACGCCGCGUGAGUGAUGAAGGCUUUCGGGUCGUAAAACUCUGUUGUUAGGGAAGAACAAGUGCUAGUUGAAUAAGCUGGCACCUUGACGGUACCUAACCAGAAAGCCACGGCUAACUACGUGCCAGCCGCCGCAGUAA